rnacentral:rRNA from 1 species
CCUACGGGAGGCAGCAGUGGGGGAUAUUGCACAAUGGGGGAAACCCUGAUGGUGCGACGCCGCGUGGGGGAAUGAAGGUCUUCGGAUUGUAAACCCCUGUCAUGUGGGAGCAAAUUAAAAAGAUAGUACCACAUGAGGAAGAGACGGCUAACUCUGUGCCAGCAGCCGCGGUAAUACAGAGGUCUCAAGCGUUGUUCGGAAUCACUGGGCGUAAAGCGUGCGUAGGCUGUUUCGUAAGUCGUGUGUGAAAGGCGCGGGCUCAACCCGCGGACGGCACAUGAUACUGCGAGACUAGAGUAAUGGAGGGGGAACCGGAAUUCUCGGUGUAGCAGUGAAAUGCGUAGAUAUCGAGAGGAACACUCGUGGCGAAGGCGGGUUCCUGGACAUUAACUGACGCUGAGGCACGAAGGCCAGGGGAGCGAAAGGGAUUAGAUACCCUUGUAGUC